AACGUCACAACGCUUAGUUUCCAUUGAACAUGGAAAGCGGGGGAACCAAACGUCAUAGUAAUCUGCGAACUGAGUACAGUUCAUACUGCCUAUGACACGGGGUGAAUUCCGGAACCUUCCGGAACGGGCAAUCUUCCAGCCCGAACCCGACAGCUAACCUCGUCAGCGUAUCAGGGAGAACUU
rnacentral:sRNA from 1 species